ACGUGGGUAACCUGCCCUAUAGACUGGGAUAACUUCGGGAAACCGGAGCUAAUACCGGAUAAUACUUCGAAACACAUGUUUUGAAGUUGAAAGAUGGUUUCGGCUAUCACUAUAAGAUGGACCCGCGGCGCAUUAGCUAGUUGGUGAGGUAACGGCUCACCAAGGCCACGAUGCGUAGCCGACCUGAGAGGGUGAUCGGCCACACUGGGACUGAGACACGGCCCAGACUCCUACGGGAGGCAGCAGUAGGGAAUCUUCCACAAUGGACGAAAGUCUGAUGGAGCAACGCCGCGUGAGUGAAGAAGGAUUUCGGUUCGUAAAACUCUGUUGCAAGGGAAGAACAAGUAGCGUAGUAACUGGCGCUACCUUGACGGUACCUUGUUAGAAAGCCACGGCUAACUACGUGCCA
rnacentral:rRNA from 1 species